rfam:Loxodonta africana unplaced genomic scaffold scaffold_35, whole genome shotgun sequence.
AUACUUACCUGGCAGGGGAGAUACCGUGAUCAUGAAGGUGAUUUCCCCGGGGCGAGGUUCAUCCGUUUCACCCCAGGUGUGCUGACCCCUGUGAUUUCUUCACAUGUGGGAAACUCGGCUGCAUAAUUUGUGCUAGUGGGGAACUACGUUUGCACUUUCCUCUG